UUUUUUUUUCCAGUGAAAUGAUCUUAAUGGGUUUAGUUUGAUUGUUGGUUUUUUUGGUAGGUUGAAGAAGGAAUUAAUAUCUCUUAUGCAUGAUGUUGCACGUAUGACUCUAUUAAUGGAUGACAGCGUUGCUUGGGUCGUGAUUUGAGCUUUUAACUCAUGUAUUCUUAAUGAAGCAAAUUUGGGAUAAAAGGAUCAUUGAUCAUCCAACCUUUCCAGUGUUUUGGCAGUGUCGUGUGUAACCAUACACCAUUUCUUAACAAACACUUUUGUUGUGAUCUUAACUUUCUCUGUUGCAGAACAGUCUGCAGUUUUUUUUGCACACCAUGGAGGUUUCAGAGUUUUGGGUUUUUGGAUGGACUGUUGCAAAAGUUGUUUUCUUCUAUCAAUCUUUUGUGUGCCAACUUCUCAAAUCUUAAGGCAGUUGUAGGAUUUCUUUCUCACAUCGUAAAUGACAAUUUUGAGUUUUGUU